rnacentral:lncRNA from 1 species
CUCCUCUUCUUCCUCUCCUCUUCUUCUCCUUUCUUCCUCUUCUUAUUUUCCUUCUUCUCCUCUCAUUCUUUUUCUUCUUCUUCCUUUCCUAACUAGAUAUUUAAAAAAAUUCUAAAAAUUAAACUAAGCUAAAAUGUACUAAAUCUAACUUUUGCAUAUAUGAACAUAUAUACACAAAGAACAUACAAAUAUAUACACG